rnacentral:rRNA from 1 species
AUGGCGGCGCCGGAGACCUCCGCCUGCGGCGCGGGCCCCGCGCUCCUCUUCCCGUCGUCGUCCUCCUCCUCCUCGUCCGCGCGGGUGGAGGCCGUCGUCGUAUUCACCAUCUGCGACAGCUUCGUGCGCCGGCCCGACCAGGCGGAGCGCGUCAUCGGCACCCUCCUCGGCUCCGUCCUCCCCGACGGCACCGUCCACGUCCGCAACGCCUACGUCGUCCCCCACAGCGAGUCCGCCGACCAGGUUGCUCUCGACAUUGAGUACCACCACAACAUGUAUGCGUCGCACCAGAAGGUGAACCCCAAGGAAGUGCUUGUGGGAUGGUUCUCCACUGGCUUUGGUGUUUCAGGGGGUAGUACGCUUAUCCACGAAUUUUAUUCAAGAGAAGUACAGAGCCCUAUUCAUCUUACUGUUGACACUGGCUUCACCAUGGGGGAGGCUUCCAUCAAAGCCUAUGUCUCAUCCAACCUGUCUCUUGGAGAUAGGCACCUUGCUGCACAAUUUCAGGAAAUUCCUCUGGAGUUGAAGAUGCUUGAUGCAGAAAAAGUUGGAUUUGAAAUGCUGAAAUCUACGAUGGUGGAGAAGCUCCCCAAUGAUUUGGAAGGAAUGGAGUCUUCAAUGCAAAAGCUAUAUGCUCUUAUUGACGAGAUCUACAAAUAUGUUGAUGAUGUUGUCGAAGCUCGUGUGGCACCGGACAACAAGAUAGGCAGGUUCAUUGCUGACACCGUCUCCUCCAUGCCAAAGCUGUCUCCAGCAUCUUUUGACAGGCUCUUCAAUGACAAGAUUCAGGACAAUCUUGCGCUGGUAUACCUGUCAAGCAUCACACGGACUCAGAUCGCGGUCGCCGAGAAGCUGAACACCGCCGCCCAAGUCCUGUGA